rnacentral:rRNA from 1 species
GAUGAACGCUAGCGGCAGGCUUAAUACAUGCAAGUCGAGGGGCAGCAGGUCUUUGUAGCAAUACAGAGAUGCUGGCGACCGGCAAACGGGUGCGGAACACGUACGCAACUUACCCUUAAGAGGGGGAUAGCCCGGGGAAACCCGGAUUAAUACCCCAUACUAUGAUUGGAUGGCCUCAUCCGAUUAUUAAAGUCUUUAAUAGAGGCGCUUAAGGAUGGGCGUGCGGCUGAUUAGGAGUUGGCAGGGGUAAGGGCCUACCAAGCCUAUGAUCAGUAACUGGUGUGAGAGCACGACCAGUCACACGGGCACUGAGACACGGGCCCGACUCCUACGGGAGGCAGCAGUAAGGAAUAUUGGUCAAUGGACGCAAGUCUGAACCAG